rnacentral:lncRNA from 1 species
CGCUGUCGAUCGUUAAGAGGAGGCUUUAGCUCGGGCCCCAACUCCGAUGCUGCCUAUUCAAAUAGAUGUGAAACGCAGAAACGCUUUUAUGAUAUAACAACUGGGCCGAUUUUAAUG